GUCACGUCAAGUGAGUAAGACCCCUGAGAGACGAUCAGGUAGAUAGGUCUGGUGUGGAAGUGUGGCGACACAUGGAGCUGACAGAUACUAAUCGGUCGAGGAUUUAUCCAC
rnacentral:ncRNA from 1 species